GCGGAAAGCGGAGCCGGUGCUCUGGGUGAGGCUGGGCUGAGCGCUGGGCAGCCGCCCUCGGCUGCUGGUGGGGCGCAACCCGGGCUCCGGGGGAAGGAGCUCUGGCACGGCUGGGAACGCCGGGCUGGAAGGCUGCGGGACAGCGGUAGCGAUGAGCCACCCGGUCUUCCAGGGAGUUUUCCUUCACUCCUUGACUCCCUCGUCUGCGUGUAGCAAAAUUUUGGUGAAAGGUACCGUAGGAGAUGGUUUCACUGGAGACAUUGGACUUGAUGAUGUGUCUUUUCUGGGCUGUACUCUUUACAAUGGAAAUUUGCCCACUAUUUCUACAACUACUUCAGCAACUUCAGUUCCUGCCACACUCCCCAUGAACAACUGCACAGAGAAGGAGUUUGUCUGCAGAGCCUCUGGCCACUGCAUCCAGAUGAUCCAGAAGUGUGAUUUUAGACCUGACUGCUCUGAUAAGUCUGAUGAGUCAGCUUGUGUUACAGAAGUCUGUGACUUCGAAGAUAAAGGCCUGUGUGGAUGGCAUCAACCAGCCUUGGAACAGAUGUCAAGAAACUAUUCCAUACAUAUCACAAACACAUUCAAGUGGCAACUUGGAAGAGGAGCAAAUCUCUACCCUGAGCAAGAACAACACUGCCCAUUAACCGAUCAUACUACGUUUUACAGAGGUUGAUAAAAUCCUGAGGGAAAUCUCAGGCCAAACACCUUAAUGUUCAGAUGGUGGCAGCUGAUAAACUGGCACAGUGUCCUCCUGAAAUGUUCGAUGUAAUUCUUGAUGAGAACCAGCUCGAAGAUGCUUGUGAGCACCUUGCUGACUAUCUGGAAGCCUACUGGAAGGCCACACAUCCACCUAGCAGCAAUCCUCCUAACCAGCUUCUCACUCGCACACUUGCAACAGCCACUCUUUCUAUUAGCCCAGGUCCAAAUAUUAAUUUACAGUGAUUUCAAAGCAUUUAUGCGGGUGAAGAGUAGGUUUAUUACCUGCAGGGAUCUCAAGGAGACCAGAGGAAUGACCACUCGGUCCCUGAGCGCAGCAGUUCCCACACUGAAGAGGAAGCACGGGUGGAACCCAUCAAGAAAUCCCAGUACUGCUCUUCCUCCAGCCAACACCACAACCAUCGCAGUGGUGGCAGAGGCCUUCACAGGCAAGAAACUUUUGACUCAGAAACACAAGACAGCAGAGAUUCAGCUUAUGUAGAGCCAAAGGAGGGCUACUCACAUGAGCAUGGUGACCACUAUGAUUCUCACAGGGAUCAUAAUCACAGAGACGAGUCCCAUGGGAUCAGUGAUCACAGACACAGAGAAUCCCGGCAUCGCUCAAAGGAGAGAGACCGCGAGCAGGACCACAAUGAAUGCAACAAACAGCACAGCCGUCAUAAAUCAAGGGACCAAUAUUGUGACAAGGAUGGGGAAGUGAUAUCGAAAAAACGUAACGAUGCAGGAGAGUGGAACAGGGAUGUUUGCAUCCCUCAGUAACUUUUGCCUCUGGCAGUCCUGUGUUUCUUUGAAGUCUUGUAACAAUGCCCCUUGAAAAUAUCUUGGGUUUUUCUUUGCAGAACAUAUGGUAUCCUUCUGUAUGCUGAUUUGUAUUGCUGUUGCUUGCAUAGCAAUAGCAUGAAAUAGAAUAUUCAUAUACUUAUUUUUUUGGUUAGUACUAUAUGAAUUAGUGUAGUACAACUGAAGAGCUCCUGAUGUUGUACUAUGACAUUUUUCAAGCUGUUUUUGGUAGCUGCCACUUGAACAAUAUCUGUUGCCAUCAAGGUGUUGUUAGUGUUUUUUAAAAAAAAGGUACAUUUGAUGUUUAAUAACUUCCCAUGUAUUCCGCAAGCCAGGAUCAGCACAUAAAAGAAUCUAAAACUUUU